UACGUAGGGGGCAAGCGUUGUCCGGAUUUAUUGGGCGUAAAGAGCGUGUAGGCGGUUCGGUAGGUCCGUUGUGAAAACUCGAGGCUCAACCUCGAGACGCCGAUGGAAACCCUCGAACUAGAGUCCGGAAGAGGAGAAUGGAAUUCCUGGUGUAGCGGUGAAAUGCGCAGAUAUCAGGAAGAACACCCGUGGCUAAGGCGGUUCUCUGGGCCAGUACUGACGCUGAGGAGCGAAAGCGUGGGGAGCGAACAGG
rnacentral:rRNA from 1 species